rnacentral:sRNA from 1 species
UCCUAGCCCAGAUGGGAGCGACAUCCUUUUAUGCCGGGGUUCGGCAUAAAAGAUAUAGUGGACAGCUGGAAAUAGC